rnacentral:rRNA from 1 species
GACGUAGGGAGCAAGCGUUGUCCGGAAUUACUGGGCGUAAAGAGCUCGUAGGCGGGAGCGUAAGUCUGAAAGGAAAUCUCAAGGCUCAACUUUGGGGCUUUUUCGGAUACUGCGUUUCUUGAGGUUAUCAGAGGAAAGUAGAAUUCCCGGUGUAGCGGUGAAAUGCGUAGAUAUCGGGAGGAAUACCAGUGGCGAAGGCGACUUUCUGGGAUACACCUGACGCUGAGGAGCGAAAGCGUGGGGAGCAAACGGG